UACGUAGGGUGCAAGCGUUAAUCGGAAUUACUGGGCGUAAAGCGUGCGCAGGCGGUUUUGUAAGUCUGUCGUGAAAGCCCCGGGCUCAACCUGGGAAUUGCGAUGGAGACUGCAAGGCUUGAAUCUGGCAGAGGGGGGUAGAUUUCCACGUGUAGCAGUGAAAUGCGUAGAGAUGUGGAGGAACACCGAUGGCGAAGGCAGCCCCCUGGGUCAAGAUUGACGCUCAUGCACGAAAGCGUGGGGAGCAAACAGG
rnacentral:rRNA from 1 species